rnacentral:lncRNA from 1 species
GAUUCUUCCUAUCCAUGAGCAUGGAAUGUUCUUCCGUUUGUGUCCUCUUCUAUUUCGUUGAGCAGUGGUUUGUAGUUCUCCUUGAAGAGGUCCUUCACAUCCCUUGUAAGUUGCACUCCUAGGUAUUUUAUUCUCUUUGUAGCAAUUGUGAAUGGGAAUUCAGUCAUGAUUUGGCUCUCUGUCUGUUAUUGGUGUAUAAGAAUGCUUGUGAUUUUUGCACCUUGAUUUUGUAUCCUGAGACUUUGCUGAAGUUG